CCCUUAGAUGUUCUGGGCCGCACGCGCGCUACACUGAUGCAUUCAACGAGCACCCGCUGGGCCGAGAGGUCCGGCUAAUCUUUGAACGUGCAUCGUGCUGGGGAUAGAUGAUUGCAAUUAUUCAUCUUCAACGAGGAAUUCCUAGUAAACGCAAGUCAUCAGCUUGCAUUGAUUACGUCCCUGCCCUUUGUACACACCGCCCGUCGCACCUACCGAUUGAAUGGUCCGGUGAAAUCUCCGGACUGGCGUGAGUCGGAGCAAUCUGACAAACACCGGAAAGUUGAUUAAACCUUACCAUUUAGAGGAAGGUGAAGUCGUAACA
rnacentral:rRNA from 1 species